rnacentral:rRNA from 1 species
UACAGAGACUGCAAGCGUUAUUCGGAUUCAUUGGGCGUAAAGGGUGCGUAGGCGGCGGAGUAAGUUGGGUGUGAAAUCCCGGGGCUUAACCUCGGAAUGGCAUUCAAUACUGCUUCGCUCGAGUACUGGAGAGGAGGCUGGAAUUUACGGUGUAGCAGUGAAAUGCGUAGAUAUCGUAAGGAAGGCCGGUGGCGAAAGCGAGCCUCUGGACAGUUACUGACGCUGAUGCACGAAGGCCAGGGGAGCAAACGGG